CACGUAGGAGGCGAGCGUUGUCCGGAAUCAUUGGGCGUAAAGAGCGCGCAGGCGGCCCGGCAAGUCGGGUGUGAAAUCCCGGGGCUCAACCCCGGGACUGCAUUCGAUACUGUCGGGCUAGAGGUAGGUAGGGGAGAUCGGAAUUCCUGGUGUAGCGGUGGAAAUGCGCAGAUAUCAGGAGGAACACCGGUGGCGAAGGCGGAUCUCUGGGCCUUACCUGACGCUCAGGCGCGAAAGCUAGGGGAGCGAACAGG
rnacentral:rRNA from 1 species